rnacentral:tRNA from 1 species
AUUUAAAUAGCUUAAAUUAGAGCAUAAUAUUGAAGAUAUUAAAGUGAUUAAUAAAUCUUUAAAUA